rnacentral:rRNA from 1 species
AGGACGAACGCUGGCGGCGUGCUUAACACAUGCAAGUCGAGCGAGGCCCUUCCUUCGGGAAGGUGUCCUAGCGGCGAACGGGUGAGUAACACGUGGGCAACCUGCCCUCAGCUCUGGGAUAACUCCGGGAAACCGGGGCUAAUACCGGAUACGACCUCUAAGGGCAUCCGAAGAGGUGGAAAGUUUUUCGGCUGAGGAUGGGCCCGCGGCCUAUCAGCUUGUUGGUGGGGUGACGGCCUACCAAGGCGACGACGGGUAGCCGGCCUGAGAGGGUGACCGGCCACACUGGGACUGAGACACGGCCCAGACUCCUACGGGAGGCAGCAGUGGGGAAUAUUGCGCAAUGGGCGAAAGCCUGACGCAGCGACGCCGCGUGAGGGACGAAGGCCUUCGGGUUGUAAACCUCUUUCAGCAGGGACGAAGCGAAAGUGACGGUACCUGCAGAAGAAGCACCGGCCAACUACGUGCCAGCAGCUGC